rnacentral:rRNA from 1 species
GUCCACGCUGUAAACGUUGGGCGCUAGGUGUGGGGGACCUCUCCGGUUCUCUGUGCCGCAGCUAACGCAUUAAGCGCCCCGCCUGGGGAGUACGGCCGCAAGGCUAAAACUCAAAGGAAUUGACGGGGGCCCCGCACAAGCGGCGGAGCAUGCGGAUUAAUUCGAUGCAACGCGAAGAACCUUACCUGGGUUUUGACAUCGCCGGAAAACUCGUAGAGAUACGGGGUCCUUCGGGGCCGGUGACAGGUGGUGCAUGGCUGUCGU